rnacentral:rRNA from 1 species
CCCUAUACAUGCAAGUCGAGCGAAUGGAUUAAGAGCUUGCUCUUAUGAAGUUAGCGGCGGACGGGUGAGUAACACGUGGGUAACCUGCCCAUAAGACUGGGAUAACUCCGGGAAACCGGGGCUAAUACCGGAUAACAUUUUGAACCGCAUGGUUCGAAAUUGAAAGGCGGCUUCGGCUGUCACUUAUGGAUGGACCCGCGUCGCAUUAGCUAGUUGGUGAGGUAACGGCUCACCAAGGCAACGAUGCGUAGCCGACCUGAGAGGGUGAUCGGCCACACUGGGACUGAGACACGGCCCAGACUCCUACGGGAGGCAGCAGUAGGGAAUCUUCCGCAAUGGACGAAAGUCUGACGGAGCAACGCCGCGUGAGUGAUGAAGGCUUUCGGGUCGUAAAACUCUGUUGUUAGGGAAGAACAAGUGCUAGUUGAAUAAGCUGGCACCUUGACGGUACCUAACCAGAAAGCCACGGCUAACUACGUGCCAGCAGCCGCGGUAAUACGUAGGUGGCAAGCGUUAUCCGGAAUUAUUGGGCGUAAAGCGCGCGCAGGUGGUUUCUUAAGUCUGAUGUGAAAGCCCACGGCUCAACCGUGGAGGGUCAUUGGAAACUGGGAGACUUGAGUGCAGAAGAGGAAAGU